rnacentral:rRNA from 1 species
CCUACGGGAGGCAGCAGUGGGGAAUAUUGGGCAAUGGAGGCAACUCUGACCCAGCAACGCCGCGUGAAUGAUGAAGGUCUUCGGAUUGUAAAGUUCUUUUCUAAGGGAAGAAGAAAGUGACGGUACCUUAGGAAUAAGCCUCGGCUAACUACGUGCCAGCAGCCGCGGUAAUACGUAGGAGGCAAGCGUUAUCCGGAAUGACUGGGCGUAAAGGGUGCGUAGGUGGUUUGACAAGUUAGUAGCGCAACUCCGGGGCUCAACUUCGGAACUACUACUAAAACUGUUGGACUUGAGUGCAGGAGGGGCAAUCGGAAUUCCUAGUGUAGCGGUGGAAUGCGUAAAUAUUAGGAGGAACACCAGUGGCGAAGGCGGAUUGCUAGACUGUAACUGACACUGAGGCACGAAAGCGUGGGGAGCAAACAGGAUUAGAUACCCCAGUAGUC